CUCUCUGCAAAACAUCUGUUGGGUGACUAUUUGAAGGCCUGGGGACACAGGUUGGACAGCAUCCAGGUCUGUGUAGAGAGGAACCAAGCGUUUGCUCAAAGGGACAAAGGUCAGAGGCACGGGAGAAAACCCGGGAUAUACUUCUGUUUGGGAAGCUGGGGAGCUUGGCCCCAGAGGAGAUGGAAACAACCUGAAAGAGGCCUCACCUGGUUCAGGGGACUGUGCUGAGAAGACGCUCUGUGGCUGGACUGUAAGUAGCUUUGGAAGCAGUUGAAAGCCUGGUGUGCCUCUGUAUGUGCCUAACUGGCCCCAUGGAGUCUCGCUUCUCAGCUAUGAAGGGUUGGAGCCUGAAGAAGUUUUACUAAGUUUCAAAGAGAAGUGACUGACAGGGCCUAGUAGUUCUAAGAAGCAGGACCACCUCCGUGCUGACAUCCUUUAACCCCCAUCUGCUAUGGAAGGCACCAUUUUGCGUCAUCGUCAUAGAAGUCCUGAAGGCCCAGGACGUCGGCAGCUGCACACAAACUAUGCAAGGAGUUGAGACUCAGUUCAAACAAAAACAGAACUUGAGAUUUUCUGUUUGGAAAACAGCCGGGCCCCCUCUGUGCCUGUUCUCCCGGGGACAUAGUCUUUGUUAAAUAUAGUUCCCGUCUCCUCCUUUUCAGGACGCCGUGGUUCGUGGCUUGCCAUGUUGGCCCUGUCUUCUGCUUGAAGUGGAAAAUGCUAUUCAUCCUGUCGCUCAGCUGCUGGGUGGAUCCUGGAGCAGCUGUCCCUCGGGGACAUGGGUGAGGCCGAGUGCUACGCCUGUGAAUGCCAGUGAUGGGGAGAUAGCAAAUGUGCCACAGAGAGAGAAACCGUCCCAGGCAUUAGGAUGCCAACCUUCAGCUGCAUAAGACAUUUCCAAUUGCCUUCGUCUUUUGAAGGACCCUGCAUCUCUUGAGAGUCACGGCAGUUUUAAAGCAAUUUCAGGUCUUUGUUUCAUAAUCAUAUGCUGGGGAUUUUCAUAACUGCUCAGUUUCUUGUUAUCUACACCUUCCUCCUAAAAAUUCUGAGUAAACUGGACCAAGGUAGAUGCUGGAAAGCAUGGACCCACGAGAUGAGACCCCUACGUUAAACAAGGGAUUAGUGUCAACUCUUGCUAGGACCCCAGACACGUCAUUGAGGGUGUGUUUAGAAGGAAAUAUAGUACCGGCUGUCCUUUUGAAUAUUUGGGUUUCAGCCUUAUGACCUGCAUCUGUAUCUCUUGCUCUGAG